GACUGAGCCUCUCCUUUGUGUAACAGGCAGCAAGGAAGGUUUUAACAGGACUGUGUGACCAGUCUAGAUGGAAAUCUCAGAGAUACAGGAGGACUAUGAGGAGGAAGAAAAGCAGGAGGGAACAAUGGCUUCUGAUUUCACCGGGCAAGUGCUCGCUCUGUGCCCCAGGGGAAUCCCAUGGCCAGCUGUGAAGGCAGGAAGAGGAGAAUGAAGCAUGAAGCCAGCCUCCAGGGCAGCAGCUGAUGCUGAGUAGGUGGGUGAGGGACCUCAGCGUACCUGGCCCUGACCCAGGCUCGACACAGCCGGCUGGCCGCUCACAUCCACCUAUCCAUCCAUCACUCACGUAUACACCCAUUUCUCCCAACUGCUCCUUCUCUUUAAGGAGUUCUCUUUAUAUUAUUUUAAUUUUUUAAGACUGGGUCUCUCUAUGUAGCCUUGGCUCUCCUGGCAGUCUCCAUGCAGAGCAGGCUGGCCUCGAACUCACAGAGAUCUGCCUGCCUUUGCCAACCAAGUGCUGGGGUUAAUGGUGUGUGCCACCAUACCCAGACCAAAGAUUUAUUUUCCCUGCCCCCACACUCCCCGGCUCUGAGGGUCUUACACUUGUUAGGCAAUCAAUCAGUCUAUCACUGAGCUAAAGCCCCAACCCCAAGAUUUCUGUUUUUAUUAAAAAAUAUUAAUUUUA
ensembl:antisense Gm13012 predicted gene 13012